AGAGCAGAACGGGAACCGCCAUGUUCCCGCAGGGCACGAGCGAAAAAUCGAAGAGAAGCUGCACAACAGCGAGGUGAAGAGGCGGAGAAGCCAAAGUUCCUCAAAUUAGUAUGCUAUGGAGUCUUGCACCCAUGCCAGGUUAAAAACAAUCCUUUACAUUUGACUUCAGUUACCUCUGGUGUUUCUGUUCUGCUCCAUAUGGAAGAAUGCACAUUUUGGAUGGGGAGUGUCAAAUGCAAAUAGACACUUAUUGCUUGUAACUGUGUGUAAAAAAUAUAUAUAUAUUUUUCAACACUCUUUUUGCUUUUAAUUAAUACAAUAUUGGUUGACUGGCAUUUGAUAGUAAAUAGGCACCAGAUUGUUGGUCUGGUGACCUUUUCGUGCUUUUUACGAUUUGUAAUUGCAUUAGGCUCUGAUUGCAAUAUUGUAUAUGUUUUCCUUUGGUUGUAUGAAGCAUCUAUGAACUACUUUAUACUGUAUUUUGUGUUACUGUAGGGUAAACAAAACAAAGCUACAGGGAAUCCACAACUCAAAGGAAAGUAAAUGUAAAUAAUCAUAGAAACCAAUUGGUAUUGCUCUGCACUUGUCAAUGUGUUUUUAUUGCUCUGCACUUGUCAAUGUGUUUUUGUCUUUUUAAGCACUUUAAAAUGAAAUAAAAUAAAAACAAGGUGACUUCUUUAAAACACUAUAGAUCUUUUGUUUGUGUUAACCGAAUGAUGAAAGACACAUGGAUCACAUUUUCAGUAAAAGUGCUCUGUGAACAUUUUA